UCUCUCUUUUUAAAAUAGGACACUACCUCUCUAACCCACCACCACUCACUCACUGUCAGUAAGAAAAAAACGAAAAAGACAAAAAUAAAAAAGAGAAGAAACUAUUUUAACUUAUUCACCUCCAUUAACCAUACAGACGCCACCAAUACUCCAUUCGUUCGUGAAACCUUGCGUCGGCGACUCCACCCUCCGCCCAAAAACAAUCCAUCACCGCGGCCCCUUUAACCUCGUCGCGCCGCUCGCCUCUUCUUCACCGGCGAAACUCACAAACCACCAAUACGUUUCACCUCAUCUUUCAUCUCAUCGCGGACUCUCCUUUUCUCUGUCAAAACCAACAUUGUCCUCACUUCCAACUCCAACUUCACCGCCACACAACAUCUUCCUUCCGCCACGACUCACACAGGCAACUCCGUGUUGACUUCCAUCUUAAAUCUAACCACUUAAACAACUCAGAUCUGAUCUCCCUCCGUUUCAUUUUCCGACAAGAUCUGACCUACUUCACCCUAACCUCACACACAUCAUCUUGCUUCCGUCACUCUAACAAGCAUAAUCUCAACGUGAGCAACUCCACCGGCAUUGCUUCAUUCGGCUCGUCGCACACUACACUGCUUGAAACAACAACUUCAGUCGCCACUAGAAGCUCUAACCAUAAGUCAACAAGCCACAACAACAAAAUCAUAAAUCUGAACAUGUCCACCAUGAAGGGUACUCCGUUACGCAUCAAAUACAACAGUUAUCGUCAUUUCCGUCGGUAAUAACUC
rnacentral:lncRNA from 1 species